CAAUUAAACACAAAUUUUUAUCAACAUAAAGUAUAAAAAAGAAAAUAUCUAUCCGAUUCUUAAAGAAAAAACAUAAUGCCAUAUUAUUUGUCCAUUCCUUUAUCUGCCCGGCAAGGACUUAACUAUUUAUGUCUUUAGAUGAUUCUUUAUAUACUUUUGUUUGUUUCACUUAAAAUGGCAUGGUUUGAGUGACAAAAAAAACCAUUUUUAUCAUGAGUGAGAAGAUGGUCCAGCACAUGCACAGUCCUCGUUAUUGGUUAGCAGUAUCAGAUGAUGAUAUUCAAUGUUCACAUGAUCAAAGUUUGUCAAG
rnacentral:lncRNA from 1 species